rnacentral:rRNA from 1 species
AGAACUUAGCAGAGAUGCUUUGGUGCCUUCGGGAACUCGUGAGACAGGUGCUGCAUGGCUGUCGUCAGCUCGUGUUGUGAAAUGUUGGGUUAAGUCCCGCAACGAGCGCAACCCUUAUCCUUUGUUGCCAGCGGUUAGGCCGGGAACUCAAAGGAGACUGCCAGUGAUAAACUGGAGGAAGGUGGGGAUGACCGUCAAGUCAUCAUGGCCCUUACGAGUAGGGCUACACACGUGCUACAAUGGCGCAUACAAAGAGAAGCGACCUCGCGAGAGCAAGCGGACCUCAUAAAGUGCGUCGUAGUCCGGAUUGGAGUCUGCAACUCGACUCCAUGAAGUCGGAAUCGCUAGUAAUCGUGGAUCAGAAUGCCACGGUGAAUACGUUCCCGGGCCUUGUACACACCGCCCGUCACACCAUGGGAGUGGGUUGCAAAAGAAGUAGGUAGCUUAACCUUCGGGAGGGCGCUUACCACUUUGUGAUUCAUGACUGGGGUGAAGUCGUAACAAGGUAAGCGUAGUGCU